rnacentral:rRNA from 1 species
UACGAAGGGGGCUAGCGUUGUUCGGAAUUACUGGGCUUAAAGCGCGCGUAGGCGGAUUGUUAAGUGAGGGGUGAAAUCCCAGGGCUCAACCCUGGAACUGCCUCUCAUACUGGCAAUCUCGAGUUCGGGAGAGGUGAGUGGAAUUGCGGGUGUAGAGGUGAAAUUCUUAGAUAUUCGCAGGAACACCAGUGGCGAAGGCGGCUCACUGGCCCGAUACUGACGCUGAGGUGCGAAAGCGUGGGGAUCAAACAGG